rnacentral:rRNA from 1 species
UACGUAGGGCGCGAGCGUUGUCCGGAAUCAUUGGGCGUAAAGAGCUCGUAGGCGGCCGGUUGCGUCUGCUGUGAAAUCCCGGGGCUUAACCCCGGGCGUGCAGUGGAUACGGGCUGGCUGGAGGCAGGCAGGGGAGAAUGGAAUUCCCGGUGUAGCGGUGAAAUGCGCAGAUAUCGGGAGGAACACCAAUUGCGAAGGCAGCUUGCUGGGACGGUACUGACGCUGAGGCGCGAAAGCGUGGGGAGCAAACAGG